rnacentral:rRNA from 1 species
GACGAACGCUGGCGGCGUGCUUAACACAUGCAAGUCGAACGGAAAGGCCCUGCUUUUUUGUGGUUCUCGAGUGGCGAACGGGUGAGUAACACGUGAGUAACCUGCCCUUUACUUUGGGAUAACUUCAGGAAACUGGUGCUAAUACCGGAUAGGAGCUCCUGCUGCAUGGUGGGGGUUGGAAAGUUUCGGCGGUUGUGGAUGGACUCGCGGCUUAUUAGCUUGUUGGUGGAGUAGUGGCUUACCAAGGCUUUGAAGGGUAGCCGGCCUGAGAGGGUGAACGCCGACAUGGGGACUGAGAGACGGAGCAGACGCGUACGGGAGGCAGUAGUGGGGAAUAUGGUACAAUGAGGGGGAGCGUGAGGAAGAAACGCUGCGAGUGUGAUGAAGGCCUUGGGGGUGUGAACCGCUGUAGGCUGUGACGAAGCGGGAGUGACGGUAAUAGGUAAAGAAGCACCGGCUAACUACGUG